CAAUUUUCCAACUUUGCCAACAAUCCAACAUUGACGUAAUUUCGACGCUUGUUCGUCAGUUCUGCUUAAAUCUUUGGUCGUUACAGUUAGUAUUUUAUUUCGCUCAUCAGUAAUUUUUGUCAAAAUGGUUAAUUUUUCUCACAAACUUCAUUUUUUUUUGGGGUUAAAUUGUAAAGGAAAAUAGUAAAUUUAGCGUUUUCUAAGUUAGAAAGGAAUAUUUCAUUUUUAGCGGACUCUUAGGAGCCGGACUCCUACAUUUUUGAUCUUUUGCUUAAAGUAUUUUAUUCUUUUAGUAAAUUUAGGAAAGUUCUUAAAACUGUUUUAAAAUAUCUUUUGGGUUAAUUAUUGUAUUAUUGCUGGCAAAGCUUAAUUUCAAGUUUAUCUUUUAAAGUUGGGAUUAAUGUUAUUGUACAUUUAAAUUUAAAAUUGUAGUUCACAUUUACUGUUAACGUUUGUCUUAUUUUUUUAAUAAAUACAAUUAAAUAGGAAAACAUUUGGCAAUUAAGGGAUAAUUUCCUAAAGGUCUGGAAAUUAUAAUAAACAAAACAGUUUAUGUAAGGUAUAAACUGUAUUUCAUUGUUAGUUUUUAUUCAGGAAAGGUUCUGAAUAUAACUAAUAAUAAUAAACAUUUUUUUAUGUAACUGGUGAGGUAUCAGUUAUUACUAUAUACAAAAAUGUCAGAAAAAGGUAUUCUGACUAAAUUCACUUGAAAUUAGUAUUUUCUGUAAGGGUAAUUUAUUUUCUUGGUAAUAUAGCAGGACUCAGCCUUUUAUGUAUUUUCUAACAUACCAACAUACAAUUAUAUUGGUAAUAGCAAGUGUUAUAUUUUUUUUAGAAUUGCACGGACAAAGUUAUCCUGCAAUCAUAAAGAUUUUAUUAAUGAUCUCUUGAGUGUAGAGAUAAAUUAUUACAUGUAUACUGAAUAGAUUCUUGUCAUAUCAUUUAAGAGUCUAUAAUUUAAUUAUCUUACUACUUAAAAUUGUUAUUUAUCCUGAAUAUUAAUGAAAAUCUCUGAUUCUCAAAAUGAAUAAAAUAUAGAAACUUA